CCAAUUUGCUUAAAGCAUUCUUCCCCUACACUAUGAAAACAAUCCCCCCAAAAGGACAUAGAACUAAGAAAAAUAAAGCCCUGUGGAUCUAGUCUUUUUUAAAACAGAUUAAGCUUUCUUAGGAGACUUGGUGGCCUUUGAUGGAGAUUUGGGUUCUUUGCCGGCGGCCUUUUCAGUCUUCUUCGGCAAAAGAACUGGGUUGAUGUUCGGCAACACACCACCGUGAGCGAUUGUUACGCCGGCGAGAAGCUUCCCUAAUUCUUCGUCGUUCCUCACGGCAAGUAGAACGUGCCUUGGGAUGAUCCUGUUUUUCUUGUUGUCACGUGCAGCGUUCCCAGCCAAUUCCAGGACCUGAAUCCAAAUUCAAAUUGAGAAACACGAAAUUCAAGUAUACGAAAACACAGUUAAAGGAUUUCAAUUUAAUUUGAUAUACCUCAGCAGCCAAGUACUCAAGAACAGCAGCCAAGUAAACCGGGGCUCCGGUUCCAACACGCUGUGAAUACCUUCCUUUCUUCAAGUAACGGCCGAUCCUACCAACGGGGAACUGGAGACCAGCUUUGACAGACCUUGAAACGGGCUUCUUCUUCGGGCCACCACCUUUCCUUCCUCCGGCUCCCUUCUUUACUUUUCCUGAAGUUUCCAUUACUUCGAAACGACCCAAAUGCUUCGUUAACUUAAAACUCUUAGCUUUAGAAUUAGAGGAUAUUGAUUGGUACAGGAGAACUGAAGAAUGGAAUGGACGUCUCGGUAUUUUAUAGCAGUGGAUUUGGUGGAGAUGGUGUGAAGCAGGCGAGGAAUGAGUGCCGUUAGAUGGGAACUUAUUCGACGGUUCAAAUUUAGAUAUUGGGGAUCCGUGCGAUCUCCAAACAACCAAUGAGAAACAAACUAUCAAUUUUUUGAAUUUUUAUCUCAUUCUGAAGUAAUUUGGGCGCCAUUUACAAAUUUUUUGGUUUCCCGCUUCUGAAUUUCGGGUUCUUUUGAAGGCAUUUGUGGUUAGACAUAUUUGUUCGUCAUUUUAGAAUUUUCAGGUUGAAAGUUCAAUUACUAAAAAAUAUUAAAUUAUAAUUAUGGGUAAUUAUUUAAUACACUAUAAUCGGAGUUUUUUAAACUCUACAGGUGAGUUGAAAGUGAAGGUUAAAAUACCAUAGAGACACUUCUACUAAGAGUGAAGGUAUAUUUUUGUUUUUCAGCUCAAAAUAUGGAUAAAUUAAUUUGUAUACAUUUAAAUUAAAAAGUAAAUUAUUCAUUUCUUUUAAAAAAUUAUUCAUUUAUACUGUUAAAAAUUAGCGACAAUGAUAGAAUAACUAAAUAGUGAUUCUUAAUAUGCCACGUGUAUAUUAUGUUAAUGUAUAUGAAUCAAUUUUUAAGAGUAAAAAUAGACAAAAAAAUUUUAAUAGAAUAAUCAAUGUAUUAUUUGAUCUAGUGUAAAAUGGUAGAAUUAAAUUUAGAAGUGGAAGGUUUGAGUUUGGGUUUUAUCAUACUCAUUAAGAUUUACCACCAAACCAAAGCGAUUCUACUCGUUAUCCAUUAAGUAAAAAGAAAUUAAAGAUAAAAAAUGAGACAACAACCCAUAAAAAUUAAACCUCAAUUCUAAAAUCAAUGACUUCAAUUUUAAAAAAGAAGUCAAGAUACAUAAAACCCUUAAAUUAUUUUCUAAAAAAAACGAAAAUAAUGAGGUAAAAAUAAUUGUUGGAUACAAAACCAAAAAGCAAAGAGAUAGAUAAACAAAUAGAGAAAAUACAACUUUCAUGAAAUUAAAGUAUUAAAAUUGGGGAAAAAAAAGAAAAUAAUACCUAAAUUUCCCCUCUAUUUUCUCACUUUGAUCGUUGGAAAAAACUUUAACUUCAUUUUUCCAGGAUUUGUUAACAAUUGUAUUGAAUUUUUAGAUGAAUGGAUUAUUCUAAAGAGAGAAAAAUACAACAGAGAAAGAUAAACAAAAAGAUUGAAAAUAAUUUUAAUUUUUGGUAAUUGUCACUCAACUUAGAUUUUUUUUUCCUUUUCUCUUCUUCUAAUGUCUAGUUAGGGUUUUUAUUGGAGCUGUUUAAAUGACAACAUAGACUCCAGCGUGGCUAGUUAAAUGUCGCGUCAAUUCACCAUUAUGUUUGUAACGGAAAAUGGUUAGUAGGACCAAGUUGUUGUUUUUUGAAAAUUGAGUGAUUGUUGUAAAGAGAGAAAGAUAAACAAAGAAAUUGAAAAUAAUUUUAAGUUUUGGUAACCGUCACUCAACUUGGAUUUUUUUUCUUUUUCCCUUCUUAUACUAUCCAAUUAUGGUUUUUAUCGGGGUUGUUUAAAUGACAACAUAGGCUCCAACGUGGCCGUUUAAAUGCCAUGUCAAUUUUUUGUUACAUUUGUAAUGGAAAAUAGUUAGUAGGAAUGUUUUGUUAUUUUUUGAUAGUUGAGUGUCAAAGAAUAACCCAUAAAAAUUAAACCUCAAUCCUGAUAGAGUUGUUUAAAUGACAACAUAGACUCUAACUUGGUCAGUCAAAUGCCACGUCAAUUUACCGUUACGUUUGUAAUAAAAAUUGUUUAAUAAGAAUAUUUUGUUAUUUUUUAAAAGUUGAGUAACUGUUGGUAUAAUUUACCAUACUUUUUACCUAUAAAUAAAUUAUAAAAUAUUGUCCAUGUUUGAACUUACAGCGUGUUUGGUUCAAUAUUAUUAACAAUUAUGUUAAGAUAUGGCUAAAUUAUUUAUUAUUUUUUUAUUAAAUUAUAUUUAAUAAUAAUCUUAUUAAAAUUUAAUAACAAUAACAAUAAUUAUCUAUUUAACAAAAAAUUCUGCUAAGGGUACUUUGGCUAUUUAAGCCUUUUUCCUUAUGCUAUUACAACAUAUAUUAUAUUAAACCAAACACAAUAAUACUAUUACAGAUUUAUUCCAUUUCAUUCAAUCAAACAACUUUAUUACUAAUUACAACUCUAUUUCAUUACAGUUUUAUUUCAUUCCCCCAAACCAAACAUGCACUUUAAUGUUUAAUGUGAACAAUAACUUCAACAACUAAUCAGAAGAACCCUUAGAAGCUAUCAUGUGAGUAUUGGUUGUACAUACCACAUGAUAAAUUAUCAGAAUCUUAUAGCUUAGGUUAGUACUACAUUUGAACUUGUGAUAACGUGCUCGUAACCAAUGAGAAUUUGCUUCUCAUACACAUGUCCUUUUGCUCAAGCAGCCUCCAUGAUUUCAUCUUAUUUAUAAAAGAUGAAAACAAAAUUGUACCAACAAAAAUACAUCAAGAAUAGAAACUAGAUGUUUCAUUUCCAUUAAAGUAACGUACAUGAUAAUGGGACUCUUAACAGUUUUUCUAGUUUGCUUAAAACAUCCCAAAGGAAAUACAACUAAUAAAAAUAAAGCCAUAUUAAACUAUGUUUCUUAACAAUCAAAUUAAGCUUUCUUAGGAGACUUGGUAGCCUUUGAUGGAGAUUUGGGUUCUUUGCCGGCGGCCUUUUCAGUCUUCUUCGGCAAAAGAACUAGGUUGAUGUUCGGCAAUACGCCACCACGAGCGAUGGUUACGCCAGCGAGAAGCUUCCCUAAUUCUUCGUCGUUCCUCACGGCGAGUAGCACCUACCUUGGUAUGAUCCUAUUUUUCUUGUUGUCCCAAAUUAAGAAACACGAAAUUUAAGUAUACCCAAACACAGUUAAAUAAUUUGAUUUUAAUUUGAUAUACCUUAGCAGCCAAGUACUCAAGAACUGCAGCCAAGUAAACUGGGGCAUUUUCAGUUUACUCUAGAGCCAUAUGUAAUUGAAUCAUUUUCUUCGUUGAAGUGUUUAGGUAUUGAACAUUGUCGUUGUGGAGUCGGAAGGUAAAUAAUGCUCUAAAUUCGCACAUAAUUCUUAUAUUUCUAAUUUUGCAGUUGAAAUCAUAAUUUCUAACAUAUAUAUUUUCAAUGGACUUGUAGGAAUGUCAAUAAAACAACUCAUCACUAGAAAAAGGUAUUUUAGUAUAUGCAAACUAUUUAUCUAUUGAUGUUUCUUCAUCUUAUAUUGUGGAUAUUUUUAUCAGCUGAAAGAUCUUUUGUUCGUGCUGGUAUAGGAGAAAAUUAUAAAUGGUUCUAUUGAGUAAAACGAUUUAGUUUCUGUUUAAAAUUUAAGAUAAAUUACACAGAUGAUUAUCUAUAAUUUAUUAUUAUCUCGACCACCAUACUAGGCAAGCUAAACCCACCAUUAGCCUCCACCAUCGCCACCAUUCUUCACCGUGCCCUUCACAUCAUUACUACAUUUCCUCCACUGUCAAACCCAAUGUCAAGUCCCAUAACAACCACCAUAAAUCAACCUAAACAUAACCCCAUCGCUACUGUCCACCCUUCAAAAAUCAUACCUGAAGUCCCUACUACUCACUAAAAAUAAAAAAAAAGCCCCCAAUCCAAAGUUGAAAAACAAAAAAGAGAAUAAGUUAGAAAAAAGAAUGAAGAAAAAAUAUUAAGAGAAAAGAAAACACAUCUAGUAGAAUUGGAGCCUCCAAUGGCCUCCUUCCAAAUUUGGAAAAUAGGUACGGCGCCAAUACUACGAAGAAAACCAUACCUCCAAACCAGGCAAUUGGACAGUCUAAGGAGAUUGAAAGACAUUCGCUCCUAAUUUCAAGGCCAGAUUUGAAGAGUUUAUGACCAAUUCACACCAAACUAACUUGAGAUUUGAGAUGAAAGGAAGAGAGGAGAGUUUUUGUUUGCCUAGUAACCGGAGAAGAUCACUGAAGCAACCAGCGGCAACAACAAGUCCCAAACGAUAACGGAUAUUGAAUUUUAUAAAUUGAAUAUUUUUUUGUGGUAAGAAAUGAAAACCAGCUUGCAACCAAUGAAAACCUACUUCGCAGACAUUGUUGGCACUAUGCCCACUACAAUGAAGUGGUUUCAACAAGAAAUCUCAUAGGCAUGUUGUGUUGUUAUGCCCUUCGGCUAAAGUAAUCUCGAAGGUUUCAUUUUUAAUAUUGUAUUUAUUUGAUACGAUACUUAGUGAAUUGUAAAAAGAAAAAACAAAAUUAUGCUUUUCAAAGAAACUAGAUGUUUCAUUUCCAUUAAAGUAACAUACAUCAUAAUGAGAUUCUAACAAUGCUUCCAUAUUGCUUAAGGCAGUCUUCCCCUACACUGUGAAAACAAUCACCCAAAAGGACAUACAACUAAGAAAAAUAAAGCCCUGUGAAUCUAGUUUUGUUAAAACAAAUUAAGCUUUCUUAGGAGACUUGGUGGCCUUUGAUGGAGAUUUGGGUUCUUUGCCGGCGGCCUUUUCAGUCUUCUUCGGCAAAAGAACUGGGUUGAUGUUCGGCAACACACCACCGUGAGCGAUGGUUACGCCGGCGAGAAGCUUCCCUAAUUCUUCGUCGUUCCUCACGGCGAGUAGAACGUGCCUUGGGAUGAUCCUGUUUUUCUUGUUGUCACGUGCAGCGUUCCCAGCCAAUUCCAGAACCUGAAUCCAAAUUCAAAUUAAGAAACACGAAAUUCAAGUAUACGAAAACACAGUUAAAGGAUCUGAUUUUAAUUUGAUAUACCUCAGCGGCCAAGUACUCAAGAACAGCAGCCAAGUAAACCGGGGCUCCGGUUCCGACCCGCUGCGAAUACCUUCCUUUCUUCAAAUAACGGCCGAUCCUACCAACAGGGAACUGGAGACCAGCUUUGACAGACCUUGAAACGGGCUUCUUCUUCGGGCCACCACCUUUCCUUCCUCCGGCUCCCUUCUUUACUUUUCCUGAAGUUUCCAUUACUUCGAAACGACCCAAAUGCUUCGUUAACUUAAAACUCUUAGCUUUAGAAUUAGAGGAUAUUGAUUGGUACAGGAGAACUGAAGAAUGGAAGGGACGUCUCGAUAUUUUAUAGCAGUGGAUUUGGGGGAGAUGGUGUGAAGCGGGCGAGGAAUGAGUGCCGUUAGAUGGGAACUUACUCGACGGUUCAAAUUUAGAUAUUGGCGAUCCGUGCGAUCCCCAAACAACCAAUGAGAAACAAGCUACCAAUUUUUUGAAUUUUUAUCUCAUUCUGAAGUAAUUUGGGCGCCAUUUACAAAUUUUUUUGGUUUCCCGCUUCUGAAUUUCGGGUUCUUUUGAAGGCAUUUGUGGUUAGACAUAUUUGUUCGUCAUUUUAGAAUUUUCAGGUUGAAAGUUCAAUUAAUUGGAUUAACUAAAAUAAAUAAAUUAUAAUUAUGGGUAAUUAUUUAAUACACUAUUAUAGGAGUUUUUUAAAUUCUACCCUCUAAAGACGAGUUGAAAGUGAAGGUUAAAAGUACCAUAGAGACACUUCUAUUAAGAGUGAAGGUACAUUUUUUCUCUCUACUCAAAAUAUGGAUAAAUUAAUUCAUAUACAUUUAAAUUAAAGAGUAAAUGGUCCAUUUCUGUUAAAAAAUCGUCCAUUUAUACUAUUAAAAAUUGGCGACGCUGAUAGAAUAAUUAAAUAGUGAUUCUUGAUGUGCCACAUGUAUAUUGUGCUAAUGUAUAUGGACCAAUUUUUAAGAGUAAAAAUAGACAAAAAAAAAUUUAAUAGAAUAAUCAAUUUAUUAUUUGAUCUACUGUAAAUUGGUAGAAUUAAAUUUUGAAGUUGAAGGUUUGAGUUUGAGUUUUAUCAUACUCAUUAAGCUUUACUAAAACGAUUCUACUCGUUAUCCAUUAAGCAAAGAGAAAUUAAAGAUAAAAAAUAAAAUAACAACCCAUAAAAAUUAAACCCCAAUUCUAAAAUCAGUCACUUCAAUUUUAAAAAAGAAGUCAAGAUACAUGAAACCCUUAAAUUCUUUUUCAAAAGAGAACGAAAAUAAUGAGGUAAAAAUAAUUGUUUGAUACAAAAUCAAAAAGCAAAGAGAGAGAUAAACAAACAGAGAAAAUACAGCUUUCAUGAAAUCAAAUGAUUAAAAUUGGGGGAAGAAAAAAGAAAAUAAUACUUAAAUUUCCCCUCUAUUUUCUCUCUUUGAUUGUUGGAAAAAACAUUAUCUUCAUCUUUUCAGGAUUUGUUAAUAAAGAUGAAUGGAUUAUUCUAAAGAGAGAAAAAUACAACAGAGAAAGAUAAACAAAAAGAUUGAAAAUAAUUUUAAUUUUUGGUAACCGUCACUCAACUUGGAUUUCUAUUUUUUUUUCUUUUUCUCUUCUUCUUCUAAUGUCUAGUUAGGGUUUUUAUUGGAGCUGUUUAAAUAACAACAUAGACUCCAACGUGGCUAGUUAAAUGCCGCGAUAAUUUACCAUUAUGUUUGUAACGGAAAAUGGUUAGUAGAACCGAUUUGUUGUUUUUUAAAAGUUGAGUGACUGUUUUAUCAUUAAAAUCAAAAUUAAACGGCUGUUGGACAUGAGGAGCAAAAGGGUCUUCUUCAUCUUCUAAAACUGGUCCCUUCUUUCUUUUCCCCCAUUUUCUUCAUUUUAUUUUUCUUUUUUUCUUGUGUUCUAUAUUUAAAAUAAUCUCAUUUGAUAGAUUUUGAUUUUGAAGUUGAAGGUUUGAGUUUGGGUUUGGGUUUUGUCAUAUUUGUUAAGCUUUACCAUCAAACCACGACGAUUAUAUUCGUUAUCUAUUAAUCAAAAAGAAAUUAAAUAUAAAAAAUCAAACAACAAUCCAUAAAUAUUAAACCCUAAAUCUAAAAUAAGUUGUUUUAAUGUCAAGAAAGAAGUCAAAUAAUCAAAAGAUAAAUGAAACCCUUAAAAAAAAUUUCAAACAAGAAAGGAAUCAAUGAGGUAAAAAUAAUUGUUUGUUACAAAACAAAAAAGCAAAAAGAAAGAUAAGGAAACGGAAAAAAAUACAGCUUUCAUAAAAUUAAAGGAUUAAAAUUGGGGAAAAAAAGAACAUAAUACCUAAAUUUUCUCUCUAUUUUCCCUAUUUGAUCGUUGGAAGAAAUCUUAUAUUCCUCUUUCCAGGAUUUGUUAACAAUUGCAUUGAAUUUUUGGAUGAAGGGACUGUUCUAAAGAGAGAAAAAUAUAAUAGAGAAAUGUAAACAAAUAAAUUGAAAAUAAUUUUAAGUUUUGGUAACCGUCACUCAACUAGGAUUUUUUUUCUUUUUCCCAUAUUAUACUAUCCAAUUAGGGUUUUUAUCGGGGUUAUUUAAAUGACAACAUAGGCUCCAAUGUGGUCGUUUAAAUGCCAUGUCAAUUUUUCGUUACCUUUGUAACGGAAAAUAGUUAGUUGGAAUGAUUUUGUAAUUUUAUCAUUGAAAUCAAAUUUAAAUGACUGUUGGACAUGAGGAGCAGAAGGGUCUUAUUCUUCUUCUAAAACUGGUCCCUUAUUUCUUUUCCCCUCUUUUCUUUAUUUUUUUUUCUUUUGUUUUUGUGUUCUAUAUCUAGACCAAUCUCAUUUGGUAGAGUUUGAUUUUGAAGUUGAAGGUUUGAGUUUGGGUUUUAUCAUACUCGUUAAGCUUUACCACCAAACCACGACGAUUAUACUCGUUAUCCAUUAAGCAAAAAGAAUUAAAAGAUAAAAAAAAUCAAACAACAACCUAUCAAAAUUAACCUAAAUUCUGAAAUCAGUCUCUUCAAUUUCAAGAAAGAAGUCAAGAUAAAUGAAACCCUUAAAAAAUUUUCCAAAUGAGAAAGGAAAUAAUAAGGUAAAAAUAAUUAUUUGAUACAAAAAAAAUAAGAAUGUAAAGAGACAAAUAAGCAAACGGAAAAAAAUAUAGCUUUACAAAACAAAAAAGCAAAAAGAAAGAUAAGGAAACGGAAAAAAAUACAGCUUUCAUAAAAUUAAAGGAUUAAAAUUGGGGAAAAAAAGAACAUAAUACCUAAAUUUUCUCUCUAUUUUCCCUAUUUGAUCGUUGGAAGAAAUCUUAUAUUCCUCUUUCCAGGAUUUGUUAACAAUUGCAUUGAAUUUUUGGAUGAAGGGACUGUUCUAAAGAGAGAAAAAUAUAAUAGAGAAAUGUAAACAAAUAAAUUGAAAAUAAUUUUAAGUUUUGGUAACCGUCACUCAACUAGGAUUUUUUUUCUUUGACUAUUUUCUUUUUCUUUUUCCCUUCUUCAUGUACUAUCCAAUUAGGGUUUUUAUUGGGGUUGUUUAACAACAUAGGCUUCAACAUGACCGUUUAAAUGGCAUGUCAAAUCGUCGUUACAUUUGUAACAGAAAAUGGUUAAUAGGACCGAUUUGUUGGUUUUUGAAAGUUGAGUAACUGUUUUAUUAUUGAAAUGAAAAUCAAAUGACUGUUGGACAUGAAGAGCGAAAUAGUCUUCUUCUUAUUCUUCUAAAAUCAGUCCCUUCUUUAUUUUCCCCCAUUUUCUUCAAAUUUUUUCUUUUGUUUUUGUGUUCUAUAUCUAGAAUAAUAUCACUUAUUGGACAAGAGCAAAGCUAGGAAAUUGUUUGAGGGAGGGCCAAAAUUAAAUUGUAAUUUUUACAAGAGUAAAAAUAUAAUUUUACAAUUUUAAUAGUCGCUAUCUUUAUAAUUUUUAAAUGAUUAAAUCAAAUUUUUAUAAUUUUUAAGGGGCAAUUUGUAAUUUUACUUUUACUUAAUUUAAAAUUUUUAAAAUUUUAAAAUGGCCUAAAUGGAUUUUCCAUUUUAGAUGGGGGGCCAAGGCCUCUGGUGGCUCUCUGGUUUCGCCUCUAUUGGUAGAAUUUGAUUUUGAAGUUAAGGGUUGAGUUUUAUCAUACUGGUUAAGCUUUACCACAAAGCCACAACGAUUAUACUUGUUAUCCAUUAAGCAAAGAGAAAUUAAAGAUAAAAAUCAAACAAUAACCCAUAAAAAUUAAACCCCAAUCCUGAUAGAGUUAUUUAAAUGACAGCAUAGACUCCAACUUGGUCAGUUAAAUGCCACGUCAAUUUACCGUUACGUUAGUAACAAAAAUUGUUUAAUAGGAGUACUUUGUUAUUUUUAAAAGUUGAGUAACUGUUUGUGUAAUUUACCAGACUUUUUACCUAUAAAUAAAUAAUAAAAUAUUGUCCAUGUUUGAACUUACAACGUGUUUGGUUCAAUAUUAUUAACAAUUAUGUUAAAAUAUGACUAAAAUAUUUAUUAUUUAUUAUUAAACUAUAUUUAAUAAUAAUUUUAUUAAAAUUUCAUAACAAUAACAAUAAUCAUCUAUCUAACAUAAAAUUCUGCUAAAGGUACUUUGGUCAGUUAAGCCUUUUUCGUUAUGCUAUUACAACCUAUAUUAUAUUAAACCAAACAACCUUAUUACUAAUUAUAAUUCUAUUCCAUUCCCUCAACCAAACAUGCCCUUAAUGUUUAAUGUCAACAAUAACUUCAACAAAUAAUCAGAAGAACCCUUAGAAGCUAUCAUGUAAGUAUUGGUUGUACAUACCACAUGAUAAAUUAUCAGAAUCUUAUAGCUUAGGUUAGUACUAUUGUAAUAUCCCGAAUUAGGGCCUAAUCGGAAUAGUGGUUUCGUGACCAUAAAUCCGAGAUAGAAAUAAUUAUUUUAUAAUUAUUUUUAGGUUGAUGAUAUGAUUGCAUGAUUGUGUGAAAAUUUCGUGAUGAAAUUCUAUGCCUAAAGUGCUUAAAUUGAAAGUAGGGAUUAAAUCGAAUAAGUUGCAAAACUUGCAUUCUAGAAGUUUUUAGUAUGAAAUUGUUUUGGAAUAUUAAUGAGGAGGUCUUAAAUAGAAAUAUACUUUUUUUGUGUAAAUGAUCUUAUGGUAUGGUGAUGGAAUGGUUGAGGAAAUGCUUGAUAAUGAUAAAUUAUGAAAAUAUUUAGUUUAGAUUAUAUUUGAUGUUAAGGAAAUUUAUUAAGAUACUUAGUGCAUAAAAACUCAUAAAAGGGAUGAAAUUUGCCAUAAACAGAAUACUGCAGCAACACUGACGCGAGUUUAAAAAUUUACUAAAAAUCAUAGAAAUUGAACUUGGUGAUGGAAUACAUAACAAAUUGAAGCUUAUUAUGUCUAGUUUCACAUGAAACAAAUGAAAUAGGUAAAGGAAUUAUAUGUUACAAGAUAUUUGAAUUUUAGUGAAACAGGGUCAUAGCAGUUUCUGAAUCCCCUGUUCCAACUUUAGAAAUUCACCAUAAAUUUUAAAGAUAUAAUUAGGUAGUGUAUUUUAUAUUCUCAGAAUCCUUAUUGAGUCUCAUAGUCAUAUGGAUUUUUUACAGAGAGAAAUGUGGUUCGUAGUAAACAGAGGUCAGACCAGUCAAGUCCUGAAACAGGGGUAACUUUAACUAAUAAACUGUACUAAUUGGCCCAACCAAAAAUUCUAGAAAAAAAUUAGUAGAUAGGUAUAUGAGUCUAGAUUUAGGGAAAAUUUACGGAUCUUGAUUUCGAGUUUCGUAACUCGAGAUAUGAUUUUUCUUGUGACUGUGAUGCAAGUAGCUUAAAAGCUGUGAAUGUAGAAAUAAAUAAUCCAAAGUUCUAAAUAUGUUAAAUUAAGCUUAGUAACACCUCAUACUCGACUCCGGCGACGGUCUCGGGCGUGGGGGCGUUACAACUAUAUUUGAAUUUGCUUUUCAUACACGUGUCCUUUUGCUAAAGCAGCCUCUACGAUUUCAUCUUAUUUAUAAAGAUGAAAACAAAAUUAUACCAAAAAAUAUAUAUCGAGAAUAGAAACUAGAUGUUUCAUUUCCAUUAAAGUAGUAGACAUGAUAAUGGGACUCUAACAGUUCUUCCAAUUUGCUUAAAACAUCCCAAAGGAAAUACAACUAAGAAAAAUAAAGCCCUAUUAAACUAUGUCUCUUAACAAUCAAAUUAACCUUUAUUAGUAGACUUGAUAGCCUUUGAUGGAGAUUUGGGUUCUUUGCCAGCGGCUUUUUCAGUCUUCUUCGGCAAAAGAACUAGGUUGAUAUUCGGCAACACACCACCAAGAGCGA
rnacentral:lncRNA from 1 species